UUACUGUUGAGGUGUCCCACAAUAGGACGAAACGGCCUUCCAGUAG
rnacentral:hammerhead_ribozyme from 1 species